CCUACGGGAGGCAGCAGUGGGGAAUUUUGGACAAUGGGCGCAAGCCUGAUCCAGCAAUGCCGCGUGCAGGAUGAAGGCCUUCGGGUUGUAAACUGCUUUUGUACGGAACGAAACGGUCUGCCCUAAUACGGUGGGCUAAUGACGGUACCGUAAGAAUAAGCACCGGCUAACUACGUGCCAGCAGCCGCGGUAAUACGUAGGGUGCGAGCGUUAAUCGGAAUUACUGGGCGUAAAGCGUGCGCAGGCGGUUAUGUAAGACAGAUGUGAAAUCCCCGGGCUCAACCUGGGACCUGCAUUUGUGACUGCAUAGCUAGAGUACGGUAGAGGGGGAUGGAAUUCCGCGUGUAGCAGUGAAAUGCGUAGAUAUGCGGAGGAACACCGAUGGCGAAGGCAAUCCCCUGGACCUGUACUGACGCUCAUGCACGAAAGCGUGGGGAGCAAACAGGAUUAGAUACCCUGGUAGUCCACGCCCUAAACGAUGUCAACUGGUUGUUGGGUCUUCACUGACUCAGUAACGAAGCAACGCGUGAAGUUGACCGCCUGGGGAGGACGGCGCGAGUAGAACGANAANAGAGUAGAGCGNGAGAGAGCGAGGACGACGACGAGGGGAGGAGG
rnacentral:rRNA from 1 species